AAGUCGUAACAAGGUUUCCGUAGGUGAACCUGCGGAAGGAUCAUUAACACGUAUCCAAACGUUAAACCCCCCCCGUGAACCUUCAUCGUGCUCUAGUGGGCCACUGAUAAACACAGCAAUUCCUGGUAAAUCAUUGUCUGAACAAGCCUUUGAGUCAGGAACCUCUGUGCAGUGCGAGCUACACCCACUAUAGAAGCGCUAGUUCCAUCGGCAUUGUUUCCCCAAGCAGCCAGUGCGUGAAAGUGGCAACUGACUGUGCAAGGAUAACGCUUAACGAUUUUGCAGCCGCAACACGCGGGCAGAGCUUUGCCAAAGGGUCCCCAUGCCCCUUCCUUCUGGGGUAAAACCGAACAACUGUUAACAAUGGAUAUCUUGGUUCUC
rnacentral:misc_RNA from 1 species